UCAGGCUGCAGUGAGCCAUGAUUACACCACUGGACAACAGAGCCAGACCCUAACUCUAAAAAAACAAAAAUAGUAACGCAGAUUUUGUUCCAUAGUUUGUGAAUGCAAUCAGUAGUUUUAAGGGUUGUGUGUGUGUGCGUGUGUGUGUGUGUACACAUUUAGUUUUAUUUUAACAAAGCAACUUGUACACUUUCAAUGUUUAAAACUGAGCACCAUCUUUCCUUUCCAGUGAAACAAAGAGAAAAUUUAAAAAUAAACAAGAACAGAAUUACAGUAGAGAAUGUCAAUACCAAAUAAGAUCCUACAGGUUCUGCUGAUUCUCCCAUUGAGUGGCAGGGCUCAAGUCAUCAUUAGGAGAGAAUUUAUUUUAAAAGUGUCAUCUUAAACUACAAGGAUGUCUGUCAGGUAUCACAAUUAAACAUGCCAAAGGAGAAGCCAUAUUGUCAAAAUGCCCACUUAACCCACCGAGACAUCUCAAACUCACCCCUUGCUGACCUUCUAGAAACCUAUUUUUCAAGUUUUUUUUUCUUUUUUUAAACAAGAGAAAGUAGACAGAUACAUAUUGGUAUAUGCUAACUGUCCAUAUUCACAUAGAGACACAGUGUACUCUCUGAUUGCAAUAUACAGAGAAAGGAGGACAAAAGCUAGAAUUCUAUGCACUACUACCCAGGGGCUUAGCACCCUCCAGCUUCCAGUAGUGUGAAGGGAGCAGGUUUUUUCUUUUUUCCCACAGAGCUUGGUGGUGUUGAUUCCAUACAGUUUUUGUUCAGACAGGAAGGGAUAAAAAUGAAUUUUGAACAGAAAGGGGUAGAGACUCUUCCCAUUGUAUUCCGCUCAAGGUAUUUUCCCCAAAAUAAGUUGAGAAACAUGGUGUAGAGAAAAGAGACCUCAAGAAGAGGGUGACUGAGGACAAGAGAAAAAAAAAAAGAGAGAGAGAGAGAGAAAAAUAAGACUGCAGCUUGCUCCCAGGGACUGGAGAACAUUUUAAAAUAGGAAGGUUGGAAUCCAUCAGUGUUCUAUUAGUCAUCUUCUCCUUCAUCCUCCUCUCCUUCCUCCCUUUCAUCAUCUUCAUCUUCUUCACCUUCAUGCUCAUCCCCUACUUCAUCACUGUCUUCUAAUCCUUCCUCCUUUGUGUCACCAUCAUCAUCAUCAUCAUCAUCAUCAUCUUUUUCUCCUUCUCCUUCUUCAUCAUCCGUAUCAGGAACCAAGUAGUACUGUAAAGGGUUUGGCCAGAGACCGUCUUUGAUGAACUCUCCUAACUCAUCCACACUACGUGCAUCAGAAUGGUCAGUAAAGCAGGUAAAGAAGCUCUCUGGACCACCUCCUGCUGUGGGACCGAAGGAGACAUCUGCUUUGCAGGCUUGCUGAAGAAGGGACAAAAAGAACAGCAAGAAGCAAUUGAACACAUUGAUGAAGUACAAAAUGAGAGAGACUUAAUGAACAAGCCAGUGAGGAGAUUUUGAAAGCAGAAUAGAAAUGUAACAAACGCCGCUACCCACUUUUUCAGAAGAGGUCAGAAUUGAUCGCCAAGAUCCCAAAUUUGGGUGUGACAGCAUUUGUCAACCAUCCACCAAGUGUUCGCACUGCUUGGGGAGGAGGACGAAGGGGCACUGCAUUAUUUGACCAGAGUUGAAGUGACAGAAUUUGAAGAUACUAAAACAGGUUACAGGAUAGAUUUGUAUUUUGAUGAAAAUCCUUACUUUGAAAAUAAAAUUCUUCCCAAAGUAUUUGAUCCCAAUGAGAGUGGUGAUCUAUCUUCAAAGUCCACCAAAAUCAAAUGGAAAUCUGGAAAGUAUUUGAGGAAACGUUCAAGUCAAACACAGAAUAAAGCCAGCAGGAAGAGGCAAUAUGAGGAACCAGAGUGCUUCUUUAAGGUGUUUUUUUUUUUUUUAAACGAGCAUGGAUUUAAUACUAUAAGAGUGGCUUGAUCUUAGUAGAUAUGUAAUCUUGAUAAAGUAAAUGUCUUAUGAACCAUUCCUGCCUAAAACGUUCUAAUAUUCCUAUAAUUAGAAAGUUUACAUUCUUAAACUAGUGUUUGUUCUUCCCACCACUGCUAAAUUAGUACUGAUUAAUGCAUAUUAGUAAGAUUAAUAAUAGUAUUUACUUUUACUAGGCAUGAUGUCAAAAAUACUUUUUUUUCCCAGUAUGAUUUCUCUUGAGGUUUUUCUUGUGUUUCUUCAAUAUUUCCUGUUUUUCACAAUUCAAAAACUUGUCACGUUGCUUGUGUUUGGAUAGUCCCUGACUCUUCAUCAAAAAAGCAUUUGUAAACUAUGUCUUAGUUACAGUUAUUUCUUCUACUAACUAAUGCUAUUCAUUAUAUACUAGUAUUUUACUUUGACAUGCCCUCUUUAUCAAUUUGAGAGCUGUCUAAUUAUAGACAAUUCUCAUCCUAAAAAAUUCAGACUCUAGACUUGGAAAGGGCCUCAAUAUUAUAGUUUAAUCUUUAGUCUUUUCUUUAGAAUCUGUAACUCACCUUUGCCUUGAAUGUCUUCAGAAGAUGAAACUGAUCUUGUAAGAUAGCUCAUUUCGUAUUUGGACAGGUCUCUCCAUUAGAAAAUUCUUCUUUAUAUUGAGUUUAGAAUCUGUCUGCCAAUUUGUAACCCAUGGAAGCUCACAAAGCAGAUCCAAUAACUUUUCCACAUAGUGUGCCUUUGAGUAUUAUACCCUGGGGCUUCUUCUAUUUCCAGAGUGUGUAUUUCCAUUUUCCUCCAAUUGUUUUUCCUAUUGCAUUACUUGGUUUUGAAUUCUUAUUUAUUAACAAACCUGAAUUUGUCUAUAUCCCUCUUAAAUGUGGAAUACUGAACUGAAUGUAGUAUACCAGAUGAGUUCUGACUUUUCAUAUUAUAUUUUAGUCAGAAAUUUCUUAGCCAUUGCCCAGUAGAGGAAUGCAUCCAUCACAUCCUUGUUUGCUAUUUUGUACUUGAAAAGUGCAAUCGUGUCAAAAUACUUUCAGUGUCUUUAGAUUUGGUGCUGUUCUGUCUUCUAGACUCCUAUAAAUAAUUUGUAUACAAGGUAGCAGGGAAAAAAAAUUACUCUUUAGUGACAAUUUUUUUUUUUUGUAACCUGAUUUAAUCUCCAUUGAGAGUACUAUAGAGAUUACUUUUUUUUUUUUAAGCCUCAGUAUAUGUCUGGCAAAGUCUUAAAAUCAAUCAUUUAAUUUAAAUUGGAUUUCAAAAGAAGGUCACUAGAUUAAAUCUCCUGCUGUAGUUCGUGAAUGAAGGUUUAUGUGAAAGGAGGGAAAGCCGACCACUUUUAUGUUUUUAACAGGCUAAAUUGGGAACUUGUCAGUGCUCACGAUCCAGUUCUUCAAAAUUAUAAAACUAAACUUGAAAGCACCCUGGUCACCUCUGACCCACUGUGGAACAUGGUGUCCACCGUUGAAGAGGAAAGUGGUGCAGUUCUUUUCAGAUAGAGCCACCUGCAGGCGCAGGUGUUAUCCGCAAGCCUUGGAGCUUCAGAGAGCUGUGAUAUUUUGUUUCUGCCAGCCAUUGUGAUGACCGUACCUCUGAAGUUCCUGGGCCAUAUUCAAACCUUGUCUCUCAAAAGUCACAUUAGAAAUAUAUAUGCCACUCCCAAUUUCUCAAAAAUGUUAUUCUUUUUCCUGUUUUAAUAAGAUCAUCAACUUUCAAAGAGGUCUUUUCGAAUUAUGUAGUGUUUAUGGAUUAUGAGAAACCAAUGUAGACCUUUUGUUUACGAACAUGGACAAAAUUUUAUUCACAAGAACAUAUUUGUCUUCAACUGCUUAGUACUCUUUCAACUUUAAAAGAGAUACUUUUCGGUUUAUUGUAAAACUAUUGCCAAAGACUAACAGGUGUCUGUAAAACAAAGGAUUCUUGAAAUAAUUCACUGACUAACAUGCUAUAUCAAAGGUCAAGGGGUAGUAUCCUUGGAUGGUGAUGACUUAGUAUUGCUAUUGCUCUAGGGAAAAUCUCAAAAUUUGAACUAAUGGGACAGACAUGUGACAUCAUAAUAGUUGGAAAAGUAAGAUUAUUUUGAGAAGACUUUAUACUUUAGAGCAAUACUAAUUUUUGUGUAAUCCAUUAUUUUCUUGACAUUUUCACAUAUUUCUGUGCUUAUUGCAUUAUUUGCUCACAUUUAUAUAUUUAUUUAUUUUGAGUACCCUUUUACUCUUUCUUCCUCAUUUAUCCCUCCUGUAACUGGCUGUCAAUAAAUUUCAAUCACAUUUUUAUGUUAGUAACAAGUCUGAGUGCCAAAUUUGAGCUAUACGAGACUGUUGUGAACAAUUUGUAUGUUUACAAUCUCUAACAUCUGCACUAAAAUGUUCUAAUACUGCAAUUCUUUCCAAAGUAGGUUCGACCAUUAGCAACCAACAAUAUCAACAGUGAAACACUUUAUGAAGGUAUAAAUGAAAAAAGAACAUUUGUGAAUAAGUGGGCUCUAGAAAAGGAAAGUUUAGGAGGAUUGCCGUAAAGUCCAUGAGCUGCUUGUGACAACAUCCAAAGCUUUAUUAACUUCAUUAAUAUAUCAAAAACAAGCAAAAUAACAAAAGAAAGCAAAAAAGCCAAAAAAAAAAAAAAAAAAAAAAAAAAAAGUCCUAGAGAGCAAACAUUAGAAAAUAAGAUUUUAGAAGUCUAGAAAUAUGUUAACUGUAAUCAUUGGUAUAUUUUCCAUGUCUGAGAGUAAAAUCCGACUUUAAAGUUUUUUUGUUUUUUUUUGUUUUUUUGUCUUUGAGCAGUGUUUUUGAGGGUGGAGAGACAGACAGAUGUAGACCAGUGUUCCUGUCCUUCACUUGUUUGCCCAAGUGAUUUUGGAAAAUCACUUAAUAUCUGUUUCAGUUUCUUCAUUAGUAAUUAGAGGAUAAUAACCCCUUGAUGGGGUUCAGGAUGUGUCACCCCAAAAUUGGCCACGUUGGCAUAUUGCUGGUGUUGAGUUUUCAGUAAAAGACACUUGAAAAACGGGCACAAGAAGGACACUGUCAUCCCCCCUUUUUCUUCCUGAAAGCAGAUGUAACAUCUAUGUAAGGGCUGCCCUCCUUAUACCAGGAGGAAAGAAAUGUUCUUAUCACCAGAGAUGGAACUAGAGAAUUCUGUACAAACAGACCUUGUUAAAAAUAACUCUACUCUUCCUUUAGUGUCUCAUUUGUUUUAGUUACUUUUCCAUAUUUGUGAUUUUCCAGCGUAUAAGCAUUCAGGUUUUGCUACUUCUUUGAGUCAACAUUUGCUUAUGAAGGCUCUUAUAUUACAUAAAUUUGUAUACUUUUCUCCUGUUAAUCUGUCUUAUGUCAAUCUAACUCUCAGACCCAGCUGGAUACCCUAAACAGGUAAAGGUAAAGAUUUUGCCUCCCCUCUACCCUACCAAAAGUGUAAUGAGAAAAUUAAAUAUGAUUAUAUGGAUAAAGCACUGGACACAUUAUGGAUUCACAAUAAAGGAUAGUUUUCUCUUCUUUAUCCCAGCAUGCAGACUGCCAGCAGCCAAAGGGGAGAGGAAAUCUUCUUAAGGAGUUAACAGAUAUAUCAUAACUGACAGUUGUUAUCUCAUGUAAUGCAUUGUUUGGGGGUCAUUGAAAAAUGUUCUGGGAAGUGUUCACAGUGACAGUUCUACAUGUCAGUGAAAUAGCAAAUAUCACAAACGUAUUCCGUGACCUUUAGUGAAGGUUGAAAGAGGUUUUGAAAAUGUAAUUUAGGAGGACUUUUCUGAAAAGGAGAAAGAUAGCAUUGCACAAAUAAGCGGCUUUCCUAAAUGCCUGAUUUAAUCAAAUAAUAACAUUCAGAAUUUAUAUUUCUUAAAUAAAAUACUUCUCAAGAAGGGUUUUCAAUGGAAGAAGCACAGUGGAUUUAACUAGGUGGUGUCUCCCCUUUCUUUCCUUGUGCAAAGGUACUGACAUGUGGCAUAGCUCAUAAGCAGAGAUUACAGAGAAGGAGGUGGUAGGGUUGAGGUUACAAAUCCCUUCUUAUUGGAAAUCAGUGGUUUAGGAAAGUUGAACACUGACCCAGAAAACCCUUGAUGGUUAUAUGGAUAGUGACAGGCUGACAUGCUGAAAGAGAACAUCAGUUUCAGUGACUAUCCAAUUUGGUGACUUUCAACAACAUGAAUUUGGUAUAAGAGGAUUUAGUUCUAAGGACUUGUGGGGCUAAUAGGCAAAUUAAUCAUAGAUGAACAGGAGCAUAGCAUUUCUUGUGUAAGCCUGGCUCUUCUUAUCUAUGAUCUUCAUUUAUCUAUACUUUUUAUGCUGUCCUACAAUAAAAUUUUAAAAAUAAUAACAAAUACAAAAAAAGUAAUAAAUGAUAAAAAUUCUAACAUAGAAGUUAGAUUAAAAUAAAGCUUAAGUGUUAGGAAAUUCAGUUAGAAAAGAGUUAAGAAAAAAGAAUUAAAUAGUUCCCAAUUGCAUAACAGAUGACAUUUUAGACUUGACUAAGGUCAAAUAAAAUGAUUUUUAAACUGGGAAACAUUUUGACAAAAUUACAUGAUGAAUAGAGUAACAUUAUGCAAAAUAAAUUAAAGAUAAAAAUACAUAAAUUUUAAAUAAUUAAAAUAAUACAAGACAAAAUGAAUAGUCAGCAGAAUUAUUUGCCAUAUUUAUUUAUUUUUUGUUUUUGUUUUUAUUUGUUUUUGAAAC